AUGUACAAAAAAUUACAAUACAGACCUAAUGAUAUGAAAGAUAACAAAAUAACAAGAAAACUAUAGCACGUAAGAAAAAAAAUAAGCAGUAUGUUCAUCUCUAUAACUUGAGUAAUACGCAAUAAUGUAUAAAGGCUAACAAACAGAGACAUGAACCAACUUUGAGUUGGCCUAGCGGUAAAAGAAUUAGUUGUAACUACCGCAAUCCGAGUUCAAUUCAUGAUGGAAAUUACUAUUUAUAAUGUUUGGGUUUCCGGCAAAGAGGUGAAACCAUUUUUUUUUACCAAAAAAAACAGAGAGACGACCAACUAGCCAACUAGGAAUUGUCACAUUAAUCCGGACAAAGAAAAAAGGUUGAUGAGCGUUUAGACUUAUCGUCUUUGGGUUUGAGUCGAGCCCACACUAUAUAUUAAAAAAAUAUUAAUAUCUAUCGAAUAUUUGUUAGAUGCUUUAAACUUUUUUUUUGGUUGGAUGCUUAUGGAUACAGUGUUUUGAUAUUGCGUUAAUAAUUAUCUAAUGUAAUCGAUUUAAAUCAUACUAUGGUUGAAAACCAUGACACCAAGAUUCAUCCAUUCAGUUAACUCGUGGUGAUCUAUAAUCAGGGGCGGUCCUUAACUAGCGGAGGCCAUAAGCAAAAAAUAAAAUGGGGGCCCUCAUAAUGAAUGAUAAAUUUGAAGAAAUAGAAAAAAUUUAAGUCACACAAGAGGUAUGAAAUACUAUAUCUUAUGUACAAUAAUGCUUCAAAUAUAAUUAAACAAAAUGGGGGCCCUAGGCCUAGGUUUCACUACGCUCGGCUCAAGGACGCCCCUGUCUAUAAUCAUUCAAGAUGGAAUUAGAACUUCUUUCACUGCGAAUUUGAUCAGGACUGGUCUUACAAUUUACAAAUGUCAUGUAACAGAAACAUUAAGCUUUUCACAUGUCCUGAUCAUACAAAUAUAUAUUACUAUAUAUAGUAGGUUUCACUUGACAUAAAAAUAUCUUCUGGCUUUCACUUUUCAGAGUAUAUUAUCCACAAUUAAGCUCUACUGUACUUGUAUCAAUCUAAUUGAAAAUAAUUUGCAUGUUAAGAUGAUAGUUCACAGUUUCAUGGCCAGAAAAUUAAAAUAGUUUAAUUACCUUACUAGUUUAACUAAUAAGGAAAUGAUAUGCGAAUUAAUAGCUUGACAUGAUACUUGAAGUUUAUCUUUUCGUGUGAAUCAGAUCAAGUUUAUAUCAUUUUAAUCAACCUUGUUUCCGGUGAAAGAAACGACCAAACUGAAAUAUCCAUUUAACAUGAAUCUAACCAAACUCGUAAAAGAAAUAGAAGAAAUUCCAACCAAACCUAUCAAUAUUGAUAAUAUUGACGAAAAAUAUAUACAACCUUAACCUGCAUAUUUGAAAUAAGUCCAGACGGCUAUAUGAAUAUAAAUGACUCUUAGACAUAAUUAUUGCGAACCAAACGAUUUUGUCAGAGUAAUGAGUGAAUCCUAACUAAAGAUAGUUUGGUUUCUAUGGUGGGCUUAGCUCUAAUAGAAUUAAAUUAAUUAAUCAAAACAUUAUUUAAGGAGUUUCUUUUUAUGUCGGGACACAAAUUAAAAUGGUAAGAUGAACUAAUUAAUCAAUGCAAUUUGGUCACAAUGUGGUUCCAUUGUACAAAUUGAGUCAAUAUACCAAACUGUUUUUGAUAAGUUAUAAUCCAAACUGGAGGUUUAUAGACCUAAUAAUUAUCACUGGGUCCAUAUAAAAAAUGGUGGAAUAAAAAGUGAGCACUGGUGUAGAUUCAGUCAUAUAUUAGGCAUGCAAUUCCUAAAUCAAAGUUUUCAAAUGAAACCAAACUAGGUUAAUUGUUUUCAGUUUUGGUUCGGUUAAUUAGGUUUAACCGACUGAUAAAACAAUAAAUUGAUUCAAAUUUUAGUUCAAUUCUGUUUGGGUUGAUUAAAAAAAUUAUAAGUAAAAUAAAUAUCGGAUAUAUCAAAUAUCUUAUCUAUUUAAAGAGUUUUCAAAAUCCUUCUCCCAAAUUAGUUAUUAAACCAAUAUUACUAAAAAAUUGAAAACAUUUGUUUAAAUUAAUCGAUGUUAAAGCUCAAAUUUAAAAUGGAUAUUAUAUCGAUGUAAAUAACAUUUACCGUUGUUUUUCUUCUUCUAAUUAUCUGUCAAUGGAUCUUCAAUCGAAAUCCAUACAAAUCUUUAGAAUUUGUAGAUAUAUAUAUAUAUAUAUAUGGUCAAAGCAUCAUUGAAUUUGGAGUUGAAUAACUCGAAUUUUGGUAUCUCAGGUCAACAACCAUAAUAAACUCAUGUAACCACUAAACCACUACAAAAUAAUUUUAGUAUAUGCAAUACAAAUAUAUGUUAAGGGUAUUAGAACUUUAACUAGUAGAGAAUUUGUAUUGUAUAACCAUCAAAAAAACUUAAACUAGAUAAGUAACUAUCACAUACACUAUUCUUUAUAUUUUUAUAUUAAUUGCAAUUUUACCCUUUUCACAUUUCCCUCUAAUUUUAAUCACUUUUAUAUCUUAAAAUAAUGUUUAUUCAAAAUUUUAAUUUACAUACAAACAUAGAAUUUUUUCUGAACAUAAUAUAUUUUGAAAAUUUUAAAUGGACAUAUAUUUUUACUAAAUCUUUUGUUUAAUGUUAGAAUAACAAUAUUACAUAGACUUAAUAUAUCAUAUGUCUAUUCUAUAUUAAUUUCAUAUAAUUUUUUAAUUUUGUGAAUAUAUAAAUCACAAGACACAUACAAGUUUAUUUUGUUUUUGUAUUUUCCUAUUUUUAAUAUAUAUUUUUGGUUUUGUUUUUGUUUGUAAAUAUUAAAAUAUACUAUUUUGUUUUCAUAAUCUUAAUAUAGCAUGUUAACUCCUCUUCAUUCAUAAACUUGGCCUUCAUUUAUAGCCAGAUCCGAUUCCAAUCCUGAAUCCGAGUCUUCGUCAUCGCAGUCAUAGAUAUCUUUGAUUCUCUGCACUAUAUCAACCAUUCAUGCUUUUGUACUUACUAUAUUUAACAUUUAAAUAUAAGUUUUUUUGGUAUUAUAUGUUUAGGAAAAUUUGAAAAAAUAAUUUGCAAAGGGAUUUUAUUUUGAAAGUUUCAUUGUAUUUUAUUUCUUUUGAAAACUACACUUUUUCUUAAGCUAAAUGACUAGUUUAUCCUAAUUAAAAUGUAUAUACAGCAAGAAAAUAAAUUUAUUAUAAUUUUAAUUUAGAUGACAAGUAAUAAAAAUAAAAUAUAAAAUAAUCCUCGUUGAAAACAUAAUAUACUAGGUGAAGAAAUUCACAGUCGUUUGAAACUUGUCAAAUUUUGAUCUAGUGUCUUUGUGUUUUAUAAAUUUUGUAUAUUUAUCUCUUUUUCAAAAAUUUUGGGCAUAGUAAUGACCAAUCCAAAUUAACGAGCACAUUGACAGUGUAUUGUCCCUAGUUCUACAAUUAUUCAGUGGAGAGAAAUUUUUUUGAAGCUGUUGUUUCGGUGAGAUGAUGAGUCUUAACAUGUAAAGUUUUAUAUUAUGUAUCAAAAUGAUCUUUGUCAUGUAAUAUUCUCUAGUUAUCUAAGGUUUAUAUUUUUUUAUAACGAUAAACAUUGAAAUAUUAUAAUAUAUUUAUCCAAUUAUAUAUUUUAAAUUAAUAUAUUUUUCAAUAACUUCAAAAUUUGAAUUUUAAUUAUUAAAAGAUAAUAUUUAACUUAAACCUUGUCAAGAUGUGGUUUUAUAUAUUGGAUAAGUAUAAUUUUCAAAAAAAAAAACAAAAUCAUUAUAUUUUUCAAAUUUGAAAACAUAAAUAGAAAUUUUUCUAAUCAUCCCUAUAUGUUUUCCAAACUGAAUUGAACUCUAUAAAUUAAUAAUAAUGAGUCAAAUUAUUUCCUAUAUUUAUAGUUUUUUGAGACAAUAUAUUUUAUAUUAACAAUAUAAAUAGAAUGGUAUUUUGUUGUAGUGUGUUGUAUACAAAUGCUCACGUGUUGUAAAUGAAUGCAAUGUCUAUUUGUAUCGUAAAUAACACAUUCUUCAAGACAUAGUUAUUUUCUUAAUUUUUUCUCUACUGUGGUUAUAACCCAUGUUCUAAAACUUGGGGCAACUCGGACGCUUAAUCGAAGAGUAAACAUUGAUCGGGUAUGAACCGUGGCGGAUUGGAUAACUCGGAUUUGUCAAAAUUUUGAUCUUUUCUCUUUGAUUUUGAGGCUAAAAUUCUAUUUAUGGUUGAAAUCCUAUUACAACGGAACAAGAACACAAUAAAAGAUGUUGAAAUCAUGAUGAAUCGUGGAGAAAAUGGUGAAAAGCAUAAAUUAGGGUUUACAUGUCAAAAUUGAAGAAUAUUAAAAUGAAAACAUGUUAUGUAUUUAUAAAAGAUAAAAAAACAAACAGAAAGACCAAAACGGCUUCUUGAUCACUCAACUUUACGAAGAGUUUUAUAGGCACACUAACCACCAUACUAUGUUGCAUUUAUUGGUUUUCCAUACAUAUACUAAUAUAUAUAAGAAAACAUUUAAAAUUACGUUUCGAUUAAUCCAGAUUAAUUUUUAAUUUUACCUCAACUCGUUAGGUCUAGACCAGUCGCACGCGUUAGCCUAGGGCCAUCUGGAACAUGGGUUAUACCCCAAAU